rnacentral:rRNA from 1 species
AGAGUUUGAUCAUGGCUCAGAUUGAACGCUGGCGGCAGGCCUAACACAUGCAAGUCGAGCGGUAGAGAGAAGCUUGCUUCUCUUGAGAGCGGCGGACGGGUGAGUAAUGCCUAGGAAUCUGCCUGGUAGUGGGGGAUAACGUUCGGAAACGGACGCUAAUACCGCAUACGUCCUACGGGAGAAAGCAGGGGACCUUCGGGCCUUGCGCUAUCAGAUGAGCCUAGGUCGGAUUGGCUAGUUGGUGAGGUAAUGGCUCACCAAGGCGACGAUCCGUAACUGGUCUGAGAGGAUGAUCAGUCACACUGGAACUGAGACACGGUCCAGACUCCUACGGGAGGCAGCAGUGGGGAAUAUUGGACAAUGGGCGAAAGCCUGAUCCAGCCAUGCCGCGUGUGUGAAGAAGGUCUUCGGAUUGUAAAGCACUUUAAGUUGGGAGGAAGGGUUGUAGAUUAAUACUCUGCAAUUUUGACGUUACCGACAGAAUAAGCACCGGCUAACUCUGUGCCAGCAGCCGCGGUAAUACAGAGGGUGCAAGCGUUAAUCGGAAUUACUGGGCGUAAAGCGCGCGUAGGUGGUUUGUUAAGUUGGAUGUGAAAUCCCCGGGCUCAACCUGGGAACUGCAUUCAAAACUGACUGACUAGAGUAUGGUAGAGGGUGGUGGAAUUUCCUGUGUAGCGGUGAAAUGCGUAGAUAUAGGAAGGAACACCAGUGGCGAAGGCGACCACCUGGACUAAUACUGACACUGAGGUGCGAAAGCGUGGGGAGCAAACAGGAUUAGAUACCCUGGUAGUCC